rnacentral:rRNA from 1 species
GUGGAUUAGAUACCCUGGUAGUCCACGCCCUAAACGAUGAGUGCUAGAUAUCGGGACUGAUGUUCUCGGUGUCGUAGUUAACGCGUUAAGCACUCCGCCUGGGAAGUACGGUCGCAAGACUAAAACUCAAACGGAAUUGACGGGGACCCGCACAAGCGGUGGAACAUGUGGUUUAAUUCGACGCUACGCGAAAAACCUUACCAGGCCUUGACAUGGUGGUCAUAUCGCAAAGAAACUUGCGAGUCACUUCGGGUGGACCAUCACAGGUGUUGCACGGUGGUCGACAACU